rnacentral:rRNA from 1 species
GAUGAACGCUGGCGGCGUGCCUAAUACAUGCAAGUCGAGCGAAUGGAUUAGGAGCUUGCUCUUAUGAAGUUAGCGGCGGACGGGUGAGUAACACGUGGGUAACCUGCCCAUAAGACUGGGAUAACUCCGGGAAACCGGGGCUAAUACCGGAUAACAUUUUGAACCGCAUGGUUCGAAAUUGAAAGGCGGCUUCGGCUGUCACUUAUGGAUGGACCCGCGUCGCAUUAGCUAGUUGGUGAGGUAACGGCCCACCAAGGCAACGAUGCGUAGCCGACCUGAGAGGGUGAUCGGCCACACUGGGACUGAGACACGGCCCAGACUCCUACGGGAGGCAGCAGUAGGGAAUCUUCCGCAAUGGACGAAAGUCUGACGGAGCAACGCCGCGUGAGUGUCGAAGGCUUUCGGGUCGUAAAACUCUGUUGUUAGGGAAGAACAAGUGCUAGUUGAAUAAGCUGGCACCUUGACGGUACCUAACCAGAAAGCCACGGCUAACUACGUGCCAGCCGCCGCUGUAA